CCUACGUGAGGCAGCAGUGAGGAAUAUUGGUCAAUGGACGAGAGUCUGAACCAGCCAAGUCGCGUGAAGGAUGACUGCCCUAUGGGUUGUAAACUUCUUUUAUACAGGGAUAAAACGCGGCACGUGUGUCUGUUUGCAAGUACUGUACGAAUAAGGAUCGGCUAACUCCGUGCCAGCAGCCGCGGUAAUACGGAGGAUUCGAGCGUUAUCCGGAUUUAUUGGGUUUAAAGGGAGCGUAGAUGGGUUGUUAAGUUAGUUGUGAAAGUUUGGGGCUCAACCGUGAAAUUGCAAUUGAAACUGUCAGUCUUGAGUACAGUUGAGGUAGGCGGAAUGCGUGGUGUAGCGGUGAAAUGCUUAGAGAUCACGAAGAACCCCGAUUGCGAAGGCAGCUUACUAAACUGUGACUGACAUUGAGGCACGAAAGUGUGGGGAGCAAACAGGAUUAGAUACCCCUGUAGUC
rnacentral:rRNA from 1 species